ACUCCUACGGGAGGCAGCAGUGGGGAUUCUUGCACAAUGGGCGAAAGCCUGAUGCAGCAACGCCGCGUGAGGGACGAAGGCUUUCGAGUUGUAAACCUCUUUCAGCAGGGACGAUUGUGACGGUACCUGCAGAAGAAGCCCCGGCCAACUACGUGCCAGCAGCCGCGGUAAUACGUAGGGGGCAAGCGUUGUCCGGAUUUAUUGGGCGUAAAGAGCUCGUAGGCGGCUUGGCAAGUCGGAUGUGAAACCUCCAGGCUCAACCUGGAGUCGCCAUUCGAUACUGCCAGGCUAGAGUUUGGUAGGGGACCACGGAAUUCCUGGUGUAGCGGUGAAAUGCGCAGAUAUCAGGAGGAACACCAGCGGCGAAGGCGGUGGUCUGGGCCAAUACUGACGCUGAGGAGCGAAAGCGUGGGGAGCGAACAGGAUUAGAUACCCUGGUAGUCCACGCCGUAAACGUUGGGCACUAGGUGUGGGGACCUAUCGACGGUUUCUGUGCCGCAGCUAACGCAUUAAGUGCCCCGCCUGGGGAGUACGGCCGCAAGGCUAGAACUCAAAGGAAUUGACGGGGGCCCGCACAAGCGGCGGAGCAUGUGGCUUAAUUCGAUGCAACGCGAAGAACCUUACCUGGGUUUGACAUUUAGGGAAAAGCCGUAGAGAUACGGUGUCCUUCGGGGUCCUAAACAGGUGGUGCAUGGCUGUCGUCAGCUCGUGUCGUGAGAUGUUGGGUUAAGUCCCGCAACGAGCGCAACCCUUAUUCUAUGUUGCCAGCGCGUAAUGGCGGGGACUCGUAGGAGACUGCCGGGGUCAACUCGGA
rnacentral:rRNA from 1 species